rfam:Triticum aestivum genome assembly, contig: Triticum_aestivum_CS42_TGACv1_scaffold_091057_1DS
GGAUGCGAUCAUACCAGCACUAAAACACCGGAUCCCAUCAGAACUCCGAAGUUAAGCGUGCUUGGGCGAGAGUAGUACUAGGAUGGGUGACCUCCUGGGAAGUCCUGCGGUUGAACUGU